rnacentral:rRNA from 1 species
UACGUAGGGUGCGAGCGUUGUCCGGAAUUAUUGGGCGUAAAGGGCUCGUAGGCGGUUUGUCGCGUCGGGAGUGAAAUCCACUGGCUUAACUGGUGGCUUGCUUUCGAUACGGGCAGACUGGAGGUAUGCAGGGGAGAGCGGAAUUCCUGGUGUAGCGGUGAAAUGCGCAGAUAUCAGGAAGAACACCCGUGGCUAAGGCGGCUCUCUAGUACGGUACUGACGCUGAGACGCGAAAGCGUGGGGAGCGAACAGG